rnacentral:rRNA from 1 species
AUUGAACGCUGGCGGCAGGCCUAAUACAUGCAAGUCGGGCGAGAGGCGGACGGGUGAGUAAUGUAUGGGGAUGUGCCUGAUCGCGCGAGAUAACUACUGGAAACGGUAGCUAAUACCGCUUACCGUCCGAUGAGCCCUUAUGGGAUUAGCUAGUGGGUGAGGUAACGGCUUACCUAGGCGACGAUCCCUAGCUGGUCUGAGAGGAUGAUCGGCAACACUGGGACUGAGACACGGCCCAGACUCCGACGGGAGGCAGCAGUGGGGAAUAUUGGACAAUGGGCGCAAGCCUGAUGCAGCCAUGCCGCGUGAGUGAAGAAGGCCUUCGGGUUGUAAAGCACUUUUGGUCGGGAGGCGUUACCGACAGAGGAAGCACCGGCUAACUCCGUGCCAGCCGCCGCGGUAAUUC